rnacentral:tRNA from 1 species
CGUCCCCUUCGUCUGAGGCCGGGACACCGCCCUUUCACGGCGGUAACAGGGGUUCGAAUCCUAGGGGACGCC